rnacentral:rRNA from 1 species
UACGUAGGGGGCAAGCGUUAUCCGGAUUUACUGGGUGUAAAGGGAGCGUAGACGGCAGUGCAAGUCUGAAGUGAAAGGCGGGGGCCCAACCCCCGGACUGCUUUGGAAACUGUGCUGCUGGAGUGCAGGAGAGGCAAGUGGAAUUCCUAGUGUAGCGGUGAAAUGCGUAGAUAUUAGGAGGAACACCAGCGGCGAAGGCGGCUUGCUGGACUGUAACUGACGUUGAGGCUCGAAAGCGUGGGGAGCAAACAGG